UAGGUUAACGAGGCGAACCGGGGGAACUGAAACAUCUAAGUACCCCGAGGAAAAGAAAUCAACCGAGAUUCCCCCAGUAGCGGCGAGCGAACGGGGAGCAGCCCAGAGUCUGAAUCAGCUUGUGUGUUAGUGGAACGGUCUGGAAAGUCCGACGGUACAGGGUGAUAGUCCCGUACACCAAAAUGCACAGGCUGUGAACUCGAAGAGUAGGGCGGGACACGUGGUAUCCUGUCUGAAUAUGGGGGGACCAUCCUCCAAGGCUAAAUACUCCUGACUGACCGAUAGUGAACCAGUACCGUGAGGGAAAGGCGAAAAGAACCCCGGCGAGGGGAGUGAAAAAGAACCUGAAACCGUGUACGUACAAGCAGUGGGAGCACCUUCGGGUGUGACUGCGUACCUUUUGUAUAAUGGGUCAGCGACUUAUAUUCUGUAGCAAGGUUAACCGUAUAGGGGAGCCGCAGGGAAACCGAGUCUUAACUGGGCGUUAAGUUGCAGGGUAUAGACCCGAAACCCGGUGAUCUAGCCAUGGGCAGGUUGAAGGUUGGGUAACACUAACUGGAGGACCGAACCGACUAAUGUUGAAAAAUUAGCGGAUGACUUGUGGCUGGGGGUGAAAGGCCAAUCAAACCGGGAGAUAGCUGGUUCUCCCCGAAAGCUAUUUAGGUAGCGCCUCGUGAACUCAUCUUCGGGGGUAGAGCACUGUUUCGGCUAGGGGGUCAUCCCGACUUACCAACCCGAUGCAAACUACGAAUACCGAAGAAUGUUAUCACGGGAGACACACGGCGGGUGCUAACGUCCGUCGUGAAGAGGGAAACAACCCAGACCGCCAGCUAAGGUCCCAAAGUCAUGGUUAAGUGGGAAACGAUGUGGGAAGGCACAGACAGCCAGGAUGUUGGCUUAGAAGCAGCCAUCAUUUAAAGAAAGCGUAAUAGCUCACUGGUCGAGUCGGCCUGCGCGGAAGAUGUAACGGGGCUAAACCAUGCACCGAAGCUGCGGCAGCGACACUAUGUGUUGUUGGGUAGGGGAGCGUUCUGUAAGCCUGCGAAGGUGUGCUGUGAGGC
rnacentral:rRNA from 1 species